AGUAAAAGUCGUAACAAGGUUUCCGUAGGUGAACCUGCGGAAGGAUCAUUACUGAGUGAGGGCCCUCUGGGUCCAACCUCCCACCCGUGUUUUAUUGUACCUUGUUGCUUCGGCAGGCCCGCCUCACGGCCGCCGGGGGGCCUCUGCCCCCGGGCCCGCGCCUGCCGAAGACACCCUUGAACGCUGUCUGAAGUUUGCAGUCUGAGCGAAAAGCAAAAUUUAUUAAAACUUUCAACAACGGAUCUCUUGGUUCCGGCAUCGAUGAAAAACGCACCGAAAUGCGAUAACUAAUGUGAAUUGCAGAAUUCAGUGAAUCAUCAAGUCUUUGAACGCACAUUGCGCCCCCUGGUAUUCCGGGGGGCAUGCCUGUCCGAGCGUCAUUGCUGCCCUCAAGCACGGCUUGUGUGUUGGGCCUCCGUCCCCCACCCGGGGGACGGGCCCGAAAGGCAGCGGCGGCACCGCGUCCGGUCCUCAAGCGUAUGGGGCUUUGUCACCCGCUUUGUAGGACUGGCCGGCGCCUGCCGAUCAACCAAACUUUUUUCAAGGUUGACCUCGGAUCAGGUAGGGAUACCCGCUGAACUUAAGCAUAUCAAUAAGCGGAGGAGAAGAAACCAACAGGGAUUGCC
rnacentral:rRNA from 1 species